rnacentral:misc_RNA from 1 species
AACGCACCUUGCGCCCCUUGGCAUUCCGAGGGGCACACCCGUUUGAGUGUCGUGAAUUUCUCAAAAUCCUUUUCUUUGAAAGGAUUUUGGACUUGGAGGAUCAAUGCUCACUCUCACCUUUUUUGAAAGAGAGCUCCUCUUAAAUGAAUUAGCGGGGUUUGCUUUGCUGAUCCUUGACGUGAUAAGGUGAUUCUACGUUUUGGAUUUUGGCACUGUCCCUUUAGACACCCGCUCCUAACCGUCUUACGGACAAUGGUGGUGUUUCUGGUCACCGCUGCCUAUGUUGGCGCGAGGCUGGUCCCACAAGAAAAACCUUGACCUCAAAUCGGGUGAGACUACCCGCUGAACUUAA